GACGAACGCUGGCGGCGUGCUUAACACAUGCAAGUCGAACGAAGUGGCGAACGGGUGAGUAACGCGUAAUCAACCUGCCCUUCAGAGGGGGACAACAGUUGGAAACGACUGCUAAUACCGCAUAAUGAAGGAGGGGAUUGCGUCUGAGUAGCUAGUUGGAGGGGUAACGGCCCACCAAGGCGAUGAUCAGUAGCCGGUCGGAGGGGAGGAACGGUCCAAUGGGGACUGGGACACGGCUCAGAACCCUACGGGGGUCAGCAGUGGGGAAUCUUCCGCAAUGGACGAAAGUCUGACGGAGCACAGCCGCGGGAGUGAUGACGGGCUUCGGGGUGUAAAGCUGUGUUAAUCGGGACGCGGUACCGGAAUAGAAAGCCACGGCUAACUACGUGCCAGCAGCCGCGGUAAUAC
rnacentral:rRNA from 1 species